CGGUUGAUCCUGCCGGAGGUUACUGCUAUUGGAAUCCGAUUAAGCCAUGCGAGUCGAGAGGGUUAGACCCUCGGCGCACUGCUCAGUAACACGUGGAGAAUCUGCCCUUAGGUGAGGGAUAACCUCGGGAAACUGAGAAUAAUACCUCAUAGGUUAUGGAUGCUGGAAUGCUCCAUAAGUCAAAGCCCCGGCGCCUAAGGAUGACUCUGCGGCCUAUCAGGUAGUAGUCAGGGUAAGGACCUGACUAGCCGACGACGGGUACGGGGUGUGAGAGCACUAGCCCGGAGAUGGAUUCUGAGACACGAAUCCAGACCCUACGGGGUGCAGCAGGCGCGAAACUUCCGCAAUGCUCGCAAGAGUGACGGAGGGAUUCCAAGUGCCUAUGCAAUGCAUAGGCUGUUUCCUUGUCUAAAUAACAGGGGGAGUAAGAGCUGGGUAAGACUGGUGCCAGCCGCCGCGGUAAUACCAGCAGCUCGAGUGGUAACCGUUAUUAUUGGGCCUAAAGCGUCCGUAGCCGGUUUGGUAAAUAUCUGGGUAAAUCGUGAGGCCUAACUUCACGAAUUCCGGAUAGACUGCCAGACUUGGGACCGGGAGAGGUCAGAGGUACUCCAGGGGUAGCGGUGAAAUGCUGUAAUCCUUGGAGGACCACCGGUAGCGAAGGCGUCUGACUAGAACGGGUCCGACGGUGAGGGACGAAGCCCUGGGGCGCAAACCGGAUUAGAUACCCGGGUAGUCCAGGGUGUAAACGAUGUGGGCUUUGUAUUGGAGGUCCCACGUGGGCGUCCAGUGCAGUAGAGAAGUUGUUAAGCCCACCGCCUGGGGAGUACGGUCGCAAGGCUGAAACUUAAAGGAAUUGGCGGGGGAGCAC
rnacentral:rRNA from 1 species